rnacentral:rRNA from 1 species
ACUCAAAGGAAUUGACGGGGGCCCGCACAAGCAGUGGAGUAUGUGGUUUAAUUCGAAGCAACGCGAAGAACCUUACCAGGGCUUGACAUCCCUUGACGAGUGUAGAGAUACACUUUCUCUUCGGAGCAAGGAGACAGGUGGUGCAUGGUUGUCGUCAGCUCGUGUCGUGAGAUGUUGGGUUAAGUCCCGCAACGAGCGCAACCCCUGUUGUUAGUUGCCAUCAUUAAGUUGGGCACUCUAACGAGACUGCCGGUGACAAAUCGGAGGAAGGUGGGGACGACGUCAAAUCAUCAUGCCCCUUAUGUCCUGGGCUACACACGUACUACAAUGGCUGUUACAGAGGGAAGCUAAUUCGCGAGGAGGAGCAAAUCCCCAAAGGCAGCCCCAGUUCGGAUUGCAGGCUGAAACUCGCCUGCAUGAAGUCGGAAUUGCUAGUAAUGGCAGGUCAGCAUACUGCCGUGAAUACGUUCCCGGGCCUUGUACACACCGCCCGU